rnacentral:rRNA from 1 species
UGAGGAAUAUUGGUCAAUGGGCGAGAGCCUGAACCAGCCACGUCGCGUGAAGGAAGACUGACCUUACGGUUUGUAAACUUCUUUUGUAGAGGGGUAAUGGCAGAUACGUGUAUUUGCGUGAAAGUACUCUACGAAUAAGCAUCGGCUAACUCCGUGCCAGCAGCCGCGGUAAUACGGGGGAUGCGAGCGUUAUCCGGAAUUAUUGGGUUUAAAGGGUGCGCAGGUGGCUAAUCAGGUCAGUGGUGAAAAGCUAUGGCUCAACCAUGGUCUUGCCAUUGAAACCGUAUAGCUAGAGAGGAGACGAGGUAGGCGGAAUGUGUGGUGUAGCGGGGAAAUGCAUAGAUAUCACACAGAACUCCGAUUGCGAAGGCAGCUUACCAGGCUUUAUCUGACACUUAGGCACGACAGCGUGGGGAUCAAACAGG